rnacentral:lncRNA from 1 species
AUAUCCCAGUGGAUAUAAUUAAUUUCUUUAGUAUUUCCUCUUUUUCUUGUUAGCUAGGGUAUAGAUGACCAUGUGUUUUAGACUUUGCUUAGAUUCAGGGAGCAUUAAAGAUCAAGGAAUCUUGAUUAUUUUCCUGAAAAUAAGGUUGUGAUAUGUUACCUCAUGAUUGCCUCAAUAAAUUGAAACAAAUCCAUAAAAUACAAAAGCUGAAAACAAAGAUUUAAUCUUUUGGUCUUUGGAUUAAGGUAAAUUUUUCCAGUUAGAAAUAUCACUUUAGGUCUUCAAUUAUUAGCAAAAUGGGAAUUCUUUAUUUAAAUAAAACAGACCAUGUGGCUUAAAAAGUUGGAAAGUCACCUGAAAUGUCAUCCAUCAAGUAUAUACCCCAGACAAAAAUAGGUGGCUUUAUAUAAUUUCUCUCUGUUGGCUACUUUAAUGAAUAAAUCUGUAAAAUUUAAACUUUCAGAACUUAGCAG